UCAUCCAGUAGGUCUGCGGUGAUAGCAUUAUUGCUACACGGAGGCAGAGGCUGGAAGAGAUUGGUGGAAAUCAUGGAUAAAAGAGGAGAUAGAAUUUGAUCUUGAAGUAUAUUUUGAGGGAUUUUACAAUGGAAAGGAGCUGGAUGAGCUUGUGUCUCUUGAUAUCUUGCUAAGGAGGCUCCAAAGGAUGAGUAAAGAUGAAG
rnacentral:misc_RNA from 1 species